rnacentral:rRNA from 1 species
CCUACGGGCGGCAGCAGUGGGGAAUAUUGGACAAUGGGGGGAACCCUGAUCCAGCGACGCCGCGUGAGUGAAGAAGUAUUUCGGUAUGUAAAGCUCUAUCAGCAGGGAAGAAAGAAAUGACGGUACCUGACUAAGAAGCCCCGGCUAACUACGUGCCAGCAGCCGCGGUAAUACGGGGGAUGCGAGCGUUAUCCGGAGUUAUUGGGUUUAAAGGGUGCGCAGGCGGUCUGUUAAGUCAGCGGUCAAAGCCCGGGGCGCAACCCCGGCCCGCCGUGGAAACUGGCAGUCUCGAGUUGGAGAGAAGUAUGCGGAAGGCGCGGGGUAGCGGGGAAAUGCAUAGAUAUCGCGCAGAACGCCGAUUGCGAAGGCAGCAUGCCGGCUCCACACUGACGCUGAGGCACGAAAGCGUGGGUAUCGAACAGGAUUAGAUACCCCUGUAGUG